GCGAGGGCGGGCGAGAGGCGCGCGCCGGGAUUGGCGCCGAAGACCGGACCCUCAGCCGCUAGGGGAUGUUGUAGGUCUCUGCUCUUGUAAGACUUUGGCUGCAGAAUCCCGGGAUGAGCCCUCCUAGGGGUCUGGAGAAGAUCAAAGGGGAGCUUGCAUGUGAGUUCUCUUUGGAAACCCUGAAGCACUGUGUGAAUGAAAAUGUGAGAAUGCAGCCAUCUGCAAAGCCAAGAAGAGGGCCCUCACCAAGAACUGAAUCUACUGGUACCUUGAUCUUGGACUUCCCAGCCAUCAGAACUGUGAACAAUAAAUGUCUUGUUUAAGCCA